rnacentral:tRNA from 1 species
CAAAUUAAAAUUUUUUAAAAAAUAUAAUUUAUUUACAAUAAGUUAUUAGUUAUAAAUUUAACUUAAUUUGA